AUGAAGGUUACUCCACAUAUGAACGAUAGAUUAUGCACUCCAUUUUCAGAGGAGGAAGUGUCGGCUGCUCUUUUUGAUAUUGGACCGUUGAAAGCUCUUGGUACGGAUGGCUUCCCGUCUAGGUUCUACCAACGGAACUGGUCUGCUCUAAAAACUGAAAUCAUUGUUGUUGUUUUGGAGUUUUUUACUUCAGGUUCAAUGUCGGAGGGAGUGAACGAUACGGUGAUUGUUCUAAUACCGAAAGUUCCUCAUCCUAAGGAGUUGAAGGAUUUCAGGCCGAUCAGCUUAUGCAAUGUAAUCUAUAAAAUUGUGUCCAAGUGUUUGGUUAAUCGGCUCCAUCUGUUGCUUUCGAAGCAGAUUACUGAAAACCAGAGUGCCUUUAUUCCGGGACGGCUCAUCUCGGACAAUUCUAUCAUUGCCUUUGAAUGCAUCCAUGCAUCACGUCCGAGACAAGUAGACCGACUCCUGCGGCUUGUGCUUAUAAACUUGAUCUUUCGAAGGCAUAUGAUCGUGUCGAUUGGCAUUUUUUGGAGCAGGCCCUAG
rnacentral:rRNA from 1 species